CGGAGGGUGCAAGCGUUAUCCGGAAUCAUUGGGUUUAAAGGGUCCGCAGGCGGUCUUAUAAGUCAGUGGUGAGAGCCUACAGCUUAACUGUAGAACUGCCAUUGAUACUGUAAGACUUGAAUUCGGUCGAAGUGGGCGGAAUGUGACAUGUAGCGGUGAAAUGCUUAGAUAUGUCACAGAACACCGAUAGCGAAGGCAGCUCACUAGGCCUGGAUUGACGCUCAUGGACGAAAGCGUGGGGAGCAAACAGGAUUAGAUACCCUGGUAGUCCACGCCGUAAACUAUGAUUACUCGUUUUCGGCGAUAUACAGUCGGAGACUAAGCGAAAGUGAUAAGUAAUCCACCUGGGGAGUACGAUCGCAAGGUUG
rnacentral:rRNA from 1 species